rnacentral:rRNA from 1 species
GAUGAACGCUAGCGGUGUGCUUAAAGCAUGCAAGUCGAACGUGAUCCUUGGAUUCGUUCAAGGUGAAAGUGGCGAACGGGUGAGUAACGCGUUGGUGAUCUGCCCCGGAGUGGGGGAUAACUAUCGGAAACGAUAGCUAAUACCCCAGAUGUUAUCGUGUUUGGAAAGCGAUAACUGAAGUUCAGGCGCUCCGGGAGGAGCCUGCGUCCCAUCAGCUAGUUGGUAGGGUAAUGGCCUACCAAGGCUCAGACGGGUAGGGGGCGUGAGAGCGUGACCCCCCACACUGGUACUGACACACGGACCAGAUGCCUACGGGUAGCAGCAGCUAGGAAUAUUGGGCAAUGGGCGAAAGCCUGACCCAGCAACACCGCGUGAAGGACGACGGCCUUCGGGUUGUAAACUUCUUUUCGAGGGAAUGAGAAAGGACAGUACCCUCGGAAUAAGGCCCGGCUAACUACGUGCCAGCAGCCGCGGUAAUACGUAGGGGCCAAGCGUUAUCCGGAUUUACUGGGCGUAAAGCGCAUGUAGGCGGUCGAUCAAGUCGGAUGUGAAAGCUCCUGGCUUAACUGGGAGAGGUCAUUCGAAACUAGUCGGCUGGAGGGUGGUAGAGGAGAGCGGAAUUCCAGGUGUAGCGGUGAAAUGCGUAGAUAUCUGGAGGAACACCAGUGGCGAAAGCGGCUCUCUGGACCACUCCUGACGCUGAGAUGCGAAAGCCAGGGGAGAGAACGGGAUUAGAUACCCCGGUAGUCCUAGCCGUAAACGAUGGGUACUAGGUGUUGGAGGAUUCUACCCCUUCAGUGCCGCAGCUAAUGCAUUAAGUACCCCACCUGGGGAGUACGAUCGCAAGGUUGAAACUCAAAGGAAUUGACGGGGGCCCGCACAAGCGGUGGAGCAUGUGGUUUAAUUCGAUGCAACGCGAAGAACCUUACCUAGGCUUGACAUGCAGGGGACAGGUGUAGAAAUACAUCCUUCCUUCGGGACCCUUGCACAGGUGCUGCAUGGCUGUCGUCAGCUCGUGUCGUGAAAUGUUGGGUUAAGUCCCGCAACGAGCGCAACCCUUGUCUUUAGUUGCCAUCAGGUAAUGCUGGGGACUCUAGAGAGACUGCCGGUGACAAACCGGAGGAAGGUGGGGAUGACGUCAAGUCAUCAUGGCCCUUACGCCUAGGGCUACACACGUGCUACAAUGGUCGGUACAAAGGGCAGCAAUGCCGCGAGGUGGAGCGAAUCCCAAAAAGCCGGCCUCAGUUCGGAUCGAAGUCUGCAACUCGACUUCGUGAAGUUGGAAUCGCUAGUAAUCGCGUAUCAGAACGACGCGGUGAAUACGUUCCCGGGCCU